rnacentral:tRNA from 1 species
UAUAGCUCAUUGUUAGAGCACUUGCCUAGCAUGCAUGAGGACCUGGGUUCCAUCUCCAGUA